CUAAAAUGGUUAAAAUUUAAGAAUGACAAUUUAGCUGUGCGUGGUGGUGCAUGCCUACAGUCCCAGCUACUCAGGAGGCUGAAGUGGGAGGAUAGCUUGAGCCUGGGAGGCAGAGGUUGCAGUGAGCCAAGAUCACCCCACUGCACUCCAGCCUGCAUGACUGAGUGAGACCCUGUCUCAAAAAACAAAAAACAAAAAAAAGUUAAGACAGACAACACCAAAUGUUGGGAAGGAUUUGGAGCAACUGGAACUCUUAUACAUUCUUGAUGGGAAUGCAAAAUGGUUCAAAUUCUGUGAAAAACCAUUUAGCCAUUUCUAAUGAAGAUAAACAUGCUACUACCCUCUGACUAAGAAAUUCCAUUCCUAGUUACUUAACCAAGAAAAAAUAGGUUACAAAAAGACUUGUAUAAGAAUGUUUAUCACAGCUUUAUUUAUAAUAGCCAAAAACUGGAAACAGUCCAAUGUCCAUCAACAGGUUAAUGAAUAAACAGCAUGUGGUAUGUUUACAAAAUGGAAUACUACUCAGCAAUAAAAAGGAACAAACUACUGAUGCACACAAGAUGGAUGAAACUCACGGUAAAAGAUACAUGGGGUCUCAAUAUAUUGCUGAAACUGGUCUCACACUCCUGGACUCAAGCGAUCUUCCUGCCUCAGCCUCCCAAAGUGCUAAGAUUACAAGCAUGAGCCACCAUGCCUGGGUGGUCAUAGAUCUUUUAAGCCCUUUUUAUUGUUUCUCUCUCUCUCUUUGGCUUUACAAUUUUUUAGGGAUGUUUAUUUAUUUCUUAAAUUGACAGAUAAAAUUAUAUGUAUUUAUCAUUCACAUGAUAUAUAUAUAUAUACAUAUAUACACACGUUGAAGUAUAUAUACAUUGUAACAUUGAAGAAUGACUAAAUCUAGCUAAUUAACAUAUGCAUCACCUCACAUAGUUAACAUUUUGUGGUGAGAGUACUUAUCCAUUCUUGUAUAUUUUUUUCAAGAAUAAGCUUUGCAAUUUAUUUGUUGAAGAAAAGCAGUUAUUUUUAUGUGGAGUUUCACACAGUCUGGAUUUUCCUAAACUGUAUCCCUUUGGUGUGGUUUAACAUAGGGGUCCCCAAUCCCCAGGCCACUGACCAGGACCAGUCAGUGCCCUGUUAGGAAAGGGGCUGCAAAGCAGGAGGUGAGCAGCGGGCGAGUAUUAUCACCUGAGCUCUGCCUCCUGUCAGAUCAGCAUGGCAUUAGAUUCUUGUAAAACCACGAACCCUAUUGUGAACUGCACAUGCAAGGGAUCUAGGUUGCGUGCUGCUUAUGAGAAUCUAAUGCCUGAUGAUCUGAGAUGGAACAAUUUCAUCCUGAAACCAUCCCCUCCCACCCACCCCCUUGCCCCCCAUCUGUGGAAAAACUGUCUUCCAUAAAACCAGUCCCUGGUGCCAAAAAUGUUGGGGACCACUGAUUUAACAGGUUCCUCUGUCCUCUGCAUUUUUUGUCAUUUGGUAGUUAGAUUCAGAGGCUUGAUCAGGUUUAGGUUUGAUUUUAAUGGCAAGACUACUUCAUGGUUGGUAGUGUGUUCUUCCAUCAGGAGGCACAUGCAUGCCCGCUUGCCUCUUCUUUUGAGAUAGGUUAGUAUGACAGUCAGUUAUUAACAGUAGAGUCUAAAGGGCAGCAGGGGAAAAGAAAGAGAAAGGGAGGAGACAAAGAAACCAAAAUAAACAAAAAGUUACAUAGAAAGGCAGAGACAUGUAAAUGAUGACUUAGAGACCAGAUGGGGAUUUGUACAGAGAUUACCAGGAGCACAGAGAUGGAGAGGCACAGGGAGAUACAAGCAGAAACUGAUGGACGGAUGGCUGAUAUUGCCAGGGCCAAGUAAGAUAGAGGAUGAGAUCUAUUCCAUCUGCUGACACAGGUGCAGGGCAAGAAGCAAAACUGCAGUACAUGGAUGGAGACACAGGAGGGAGAAACAGAGGCACCAAGGCAACAGGGGCUUAAAAAGCAAAAAUCCUCCCCUUCAAGGAACCCCUUGCUGCUAUAGGUAGCCAUGUGACUCAGAUUUGGGGAAAGAAUCAGAGGCUUCCCUUCCUAAAAAAAAAAAAAAGAAAAAAGGAAAAAGAGCAAAGGCUUCUGGACUUCCUUAUUUCCACCUGGAAGAAAGAUGCCAUGCCUGGAGGUUCAGCAGCCAUCUUGCAACCACAAGGAUGGGACCACAUGCUAAGGAUGUUGGAGCAGGAAGACUGAAGGAGCCUAUGUCUCUGGUGACCUCCCUCAGCCCAGGUCUCGAUUGCCCCCUCCACAGACUUCUCGGAAUUCUUUCUUUCCUUCCUUCCUUUCUCUUUCUUUCUUUUCUUUUUCUCCUUUCUUUCUCUCUCUCUUUCUCUCUUCUUUAUCUCUCUCUCUUUAUCUCUCUCUCUCUCUUCUCUCCUUCUUUCUUUUUUUUUUUUUUAAAUGGAGUUUUGCUUUCGUUGCCCGGGCUGGAGUGCAAUGGCCUGAUCUUGGCUCACCGCAACCUCCGCCUCCCAAGUUCAAGCGAUUCUCCUGCCUCAGCCUUACUGAGUAGCUUGGAUUAUAGGCAUGUGCCACCAUGCCCAGCUAAUUUUGAAUUUUUAGUAGAGAUGGGGUUUCUCCAUGUUGGUCAG
rnacentral:lncRNA from 10 species